AUGAAGCCCUUUCGGGGGUGGAUUAGUGGCGAACGGGUGAGUAACACGUGGGCAAUCUGCCCUGCACUUCGGGACAAGCCCUGGAAACGGGGUCUAAUACCGGAUAUGACCAUCGGGCGCAUGCUCUGGUGGUGGAAAGCUUCGGCGGUGCAGGAUGAGCCCGCGGCCUAUCAGCUUGUUGGUGGGGUGAUGGCCUACCAAGGCGACGACGGGUAGCCGGCCUGAGAGGGCGACCGGCCACACUGGGACUGAGACACGGCCCAGACUCCUACGGGAGGCAGCAGUGGGGAAUAUUGCACAAUGGGCGGAAGCCUGAUGCAGCGACGCCGCGUGAGGGAUGACGGCCUUCGGGUUGUAAACCUCUUUCAGCAGGGAAGAAGCUUUUGUGACGGUACCUGCAGAAGAAGCACCGGCUAACUACGUGCCAGCAGCCGCGGUAAUACGUAGGGUGCGAGCGUUGUCCGGAAUUAUUGGGCGUAAAGAGCUCGUAGGCGGCCUGUCGCGUCGGAUGUGAAAGCCCGGGGCUUAACCCUGGGUCUGCAUUCGAUACGGGCAGGCUCGAGUUCGGUAGGGGAGAUCGGAAUUCCUGGUGUAGCGGUGAA
rnacentral:rRNA from 1 species